rnacentral:tRNA from 1 species
UUGACUGAAGCCAAAAAUUAGAGGCUCAUCACUGUUAAUGAUGUUAUUGAAUAAUUAUUCCAGUCAAG